GAACCAUGUUAAGGACACAUCUGCAAGAGAUCCUUGAACCGUUCCCAUGUCUCAAACAAUGAUUGUAGCUCAAUCUGAACAAAUGAGGAGAUCUCAUUUUGAAGCUU